rnacentral:rRNA from 1 species
AUGAAUGCUGGCGACGUGGAUAAGGCAUGCAAGUCAAGGGGACCGCAAGGUAACCGGCAGACGAGGUAGUAACACGUAGGUACUCCCCCCGAAGUCUGGAAUAGCUCGUCGAAAGACGGGGUAAUACCAGAUGGUCACGGAAGUGUAAAGAUUUAUCGCUUCGGGAGAGGCCUGCGUAAUAUCAGCUAGUUGGUAAGGUAACGGCUUACCAAGGCUACGACGUUUAGGGGAGCUGAGAGGCUGACCCCCACCGAUGGGACUGAGACACGGCCCAUACUCCUACGGGAGGCCGCAGUCGAGAAUCUUCCGCAAUGGACGAAAGUCUGACGGAGCGACGUCGCGUGAUGGACGAAGUACUUCGGUACGUAAACAUCUUUUAUGUGGGACGAAAUUAUUGACGGUACCACAUGAAUAAGGGGCUCCUAACUCUGU